rnacentral:rRNA from 1 species
GUAGGUGGCAAGCGUUGUCCGGAAUAUUGGGCGUAAAGCGCGCGCAGGGCGGUCCUUUAAGUCUGAUGUGAAAGCCCACGGCUCAACCGUGGAGGGUCAUUGGAAACUGGGGGACUUGAGUACAGAAGAGGAAAGCGGAAUUCCAAGUGUAGCGGUGAAAUGCGUAGAGAUUUGGAGGAACACCAGUGGCGAAGGCGGCUUUCUGGUCUGUAACUGACGCUGAGGCGCGAAAGCGUGGGGAGCAAACAGGAUUAGAUACCCUGGUAGUCCACGCCGUAAACGAUGAGUGCUAAGUGUUAGGGGGUUUCCGCCCCUUAGUGCUGCAGCUAACGCAUUAAGCACUCCGCCUGGGGAGUACGGCCGCAAAGGCUG